GGGCGCACCCCGAUGACCCGAACAUUGGGUAGGGUCAAAUGUCGUCUGAUAUGAUCAGUCGGAUGGCGUCUGACGCAUUUAGUCAGGGAAACGAUGACAAGUCGAGUUCCCAUUACCCAGACCUAAGUCGGGUGCUUACGUCAUGCCGUGUGAUAAACGGUGGUAAGUCGAAUAUCCUUCGACUGGUCGUGACCUGGUCGG
rnacentral:lncRNA from 1 species